UGGAACCAAACUAAUGGCUUCCAAGAGGCAGUCUCUUGUUUUGCUGGUUCUCUUUCUUUUUGCGUUGCUUUCUGCUGAAGCAUUGCCCAGAAAGCUAGGGAAUGCUUCGGGUCUUCAUUUAUAUUCACAGGAGGGAAGGAUACUUGCCACUCAGGCAUCUGGCAAUCGAUGUUUGCAGAGAUUCACAUCACGUGAUAAUCCUCGUUGCCACAAUUAUUAACAAUAAUAAUAAAUUAAUAAUACUAUAAUGCUUAUGAUCUAUUUAUAAAUUCAUUGUCUAAAUAGUUAUUUUGUAAAUUGUAAUGUUAUAACAAACCCAAAGGGCUCCACACCUGCUUGUUUCAAAUUAUAUACCAAAUGUUAAUAUUUUCGAAGAGUUCUUUAAUUAUUUACGAAGCUCCCACACUUUAAAAUUAAAUAUAAACGUGCCAGCAGGGUUCAAUACCUGUCUGAUACGGUUUCUUUAUGAGACACGUUAAUAUUCUACUAUUUUUAUUAUCAUAUUUUUUCAUUAAAACAUAUUUAUAUUACUUAAAAACUUAAAGAAGUAAUAUUUUAAUGGGUAAAUGAGUAAAUUACUCUUGAACUUUAGGUCUAGUAACACUAUAGACCUUGAAACUCAUUUAUUGUGCAAAUUUUUCUUUCAACUUUUGAAAAUGGUGUAGUCUAACAUAUGUCAUUAAUAAAAGUUAACUUUAACCAUUCAUUAAAAAAAUGAUAUUACAGAGAAAAGGUUGGAUCCUUUAUUGCAAUUUUUUGAUCUUUUUUUAUAAUUUUUGAGAUCAUUUUCUAGUUAACUAAUGGUCAAAGUUAAGUUUUGUUAAUGGUAGAGGUUAGAUUGCACAAUUUUCAAAAGUUGAGAGAACAAUUUUGCACAAUAAACAACUUCAGGGUCUAUGGUGCUACUUAAUUUAAAGCUUAGGGGAUAAUUUGCUGAUUUACACUAUUUUAAUUUGGCUAUAAAUAUGUUUACAUUACUUUACAAAUUCUUAUUUAAGAUCAUACUUUACUUCACUCUUUGCUUGCAGCUUUAUCCUCUUUUAUUUAAAUUCAAUUAAAACGUUGUGCUAUGAACAUUAAAACUUUAGUUAUUAUAAAUUGACUCCGUCAAAUAUAAAAUAUCCGGUCCAUCGACGACCAGCAAAUGCGAAGAAUGCUAAUUAAGAAUAUAAAUAUUGUAUUCAUCAUGGAUUCAUAACACAAUUAAAGUCAUUCAACACGGAAACUGGGUGACGACCUGAUGGAAUCACUCAUCAAUAUUAUAAUUUCAGACAAUUUGAACUCAUUGAUCUUUUAAUUUUAAUUGUUUAAUGUGUUCAUUGAAAUAAUUAUUUAUCCUAUUUUUAAAAUUUUAUUUUUACGUACAGAAAAUAUAAGACCGAAUAAUCGGUCAAAAUUUAACCUAAACUAGCAUAUCUUACACAUCUUUAUUUAUCUAGACUCUCAUUACAAAAUCUAUUGAAACAUGGCUCACGGGUCAAAAUUGAAGUCAUGAACAAUCACACGCGUUAAGGAAUCAAAACAAUUAUAAAUAUUGAUGAAAUUAGAGUAAAUUAAUAAAAAGUUUAUGUGAGCUUUUAUUAAAAUUAUAUAAGUGCUUAUUGUUAAAACUAAAAAGCAAAAACUCCAAUUAUUAGAGUAUAACACAAGAAGUCUCACAUCUGAACGUAAUAAAAAAAACGAGGGGUAUAUGAACUUGUUUAAGCUAUUUUAGUAUAAUUUUUUUUGACCAAAUUUGAGUAUAAUAGCUGAGUCCAAACACAAUGAAAUACAAAAAUUAAACACCCAUGAGCCUUAGGAAAAUUACACAAACCUUUUUCUAAUUUUUAGAACCAACUUAUCUUACAAACAAAAUGAAGCAAACUUCGUCAAAAAAAAUAUAGAUUUUAAUAAUUGAUGACAUAUUUGUGUAAUUUAAUUUAACAAAGUUCUCGAGAAAUAUUUUUGUAUAAACUUUUAACCUACUUUGAAGGAUACUCCCUUCGUUUAAAAAUGUAACGCAUUUUAAUCGAAUCUCACUUCUUAAUAAAGUAGUUAUUUAUUUUUCAACUAACCCUAUCUUUUCAUAUUUACCCCUAUUAAACACUUUAUAGUAAAUAUAAAGUCAUUAUCAAUAAGGACACUUUUGGAAAAAAAGACAAUGAUUAUACCUCAAAAAACUAAAAAUGUUUUAUAUUUUUGAACAUCUAAUUCUUAAAAAAUGCCUUAUAUUUUUAAACGGAGGGAGUAGCUUUUAUGGAUUUUAAAAAUUGAAAAAGAUGUCUAUAUUUAGAGUUUAAAAAAAGAGUAAAAACUUAUAAGAGUAAGAGUAAUUUGGUUCUUAUUUAAAAGUAAAAAUGUAGAUUUUUUUCCCUUUGGUUACGUUGUGAUUUAAAAAUAAACCAGGUAUCAGCGUGAAUAAAAUUCAUGAGAAGCGGGAGCAAAUCUGUUAAAUAAUAACAAUUACUUCUUCUAGAAUUUCUUGCAAGAGUCUUUUUUUUUUUUAAAGUUAAAAAUUUCCCAUUGUUCCUUGCAUUUGUUAAAAAUUUCCUUGUUUUUCCUUUGAAAAAAAAAAUUUCAAAUGUAUGUAUUAUAUGUGCGAAACAAGUAUUUGUUUCUUAUGAAGAAGUGCUGAGGGAGUACAUCAGAACAUCAGCCCCUAGAGUUAGAUUGGAAUCAAAGACUGUGUGAAAGAAUCAAUCCGCACUUUCUGACCAAAGCAUCGAUUAUACAUAUUGAAAUAUCAAAGAAAUGUAAAACUAAUGACUGAAAGUCCAAAACUACGCACCCACUGACUUUAAUUUGUGUUAUAAAUUGAUUGAUUGAAUUUAUGAGCAUUGUGAAAUACAGAUAUCGAGCCUAUCUGUAAUGGCUUUCAAAAGGCAGUCUCAUAUUUUGGAGGUUCUCUUUCUUUUUGCGUUGCUUCUUUCUGCUGAAGCAUUGGCUAGAAAUCUUGGUGGUACUUCUGAUCUUCAAAUGUCUUCACAUGAGGGAAGGAUACUUGCCAACAGAGCACCAGGCAACCGAUGUUUGAUAGGCGAAGGACACCCACCUAAAGAUGCUCCUCGUUGCCACAAUUAUUAAUAACAUAUUAACAAUGAAAUUGUUGUGGGAAAAGAAAGAUAUUAAUUAUUAAGAACCAAGUAAACAGUUAUUUAGUUAUCUUUGUAAUAUUAUAUGCUUGUGUUUCAAAUUAUUUUAUGAGAAUUAUGGAA